rnacentral:rRNA from 1 species
UACGAAGGGUGCAAGCGUUGUUCGGAAUGACUGGGCGUAAAGGGCGUGUAGGCGGUUAUAUGCGUCAGGUGUGAAAUCCCCGGGCUCAACCUGGGAAUUGCAUUUGAUACGGUAUAGCUAGAGAUUGGUAGAGGAUAGUGGAAUUGCGAGUGUAGAGGUGAAAUUCGUAGAUAUUCGCAGGAACACCAGUGGCGAAGGCGACUAUCUGGGCCAAUACUGACGCUGAGGCGCGAAAGCGUGGGGAG